UACGUAGGGUGCAAGCGUUAAUCGGAAUUACUGGGCGUAAAGCGUGCGCAGGCGGUCUGCUAAGAGAGGUGUGAAAUCCCCGGGCUUAACCUGGGAACUGCGCUUCUAACUGGCAGGCUUGAGUGUGGCAGAGGGGGGUGGAAUUCCACGUGUAGCAGUGAAAUGCGUAGAGAUGUGGAGGAACACCGAUGGCGAAGGCAGCCCCCUGGGCUAACACUGACGCUCAUGCACGAAAGCGUGGGGAGCAAACAGG
rnacentral:rRNA from 1 species